rnacentral:rRNA from 1 species
AGCGAACGCUGGCGGCGUGCCUAACACAUGCAAGUCGAACGUGAAAGGGAGCAAUCCCAAGUCAUGUGGCGUACGGGUGAGUAACACGUAGGUAAUCUACCCCAGAAUCUGGAAUAACCGGCCGAAAGGUUGGCUAAUACGGGAUAGAGCGACGGAAUCCGUAAUUGGGUUUUUCGGGAAAGGGAGCCUGUCAAAAGGCCUUCGUUCUGGGAUGAGCCUGCGUCCCAUCAGCUAGUUGGUGAGGUAAAAGCUUACCAAGGCAAUGACGUGUAGCUGGUCUGAGGGGAAGGACAGGCACACUGGGACUGGAAAACGGUCCAGGACCCUUAGGGGAGGAGCAAUGGGGAAUCUUGCGAAAUGGACGGAAGUCCGGAGCAACACCGCCGCGUGGGUGGAGGAGGGCUUCGGGUUGUAAAGCUCUGUCGAGUGGGACGAAAAUGCGUGGAGUUCACAGCUCUAGGAACUGACGGUACCAGUAAAGGAAGCACCGGCUAACUCCGUG